UUGAAAAGAACUUUGAAGAGAGAGUUCAAGAGUACGUGAAACCGUUCAGGGGUAAACCUAAGAAACCCAAAAGAUCGAACGGGGAGAUUCAUCGUCAGCGGCGCUGGCUUCGCGUCGGUGGGCGAUGUUCCGCGGAGCCCUUGCGGGUCCUACCGCGGACACGCUACCGUGCGUCGAUGUCCGGCGCUCGUCGUCGUGCACUUCUCCCCUAGUAGGACGUCGCGACCCGCUGGGUGUCGGUCUACGGCCCGGGUGCGGUGCCUGUCGCGUCGCCGGUAAAACGGCACGCGGCAAACCCCCGGUCGCCCGGCCGGCUGCCCGGCGGUACACGCAUGGUAUCAGGCCGCACUCUUCUCACGUGUGCGUCGAGACCGGCGCAAGCGCGCGCCACGGUACUCGGAGGUUACGGACCUAGCGCCGUCCCCGGUCCUGGCCCGCUGUUGGCUCGCUCGGAACUCCUUCGACAGGCCUGCAAAGUAUAUACCGGUCGGCGACGCUACUGCUUUGGGUACUCUUAGGACCCGUCUUGAAACACGGACCAAGGAGUCUAACAUGUACGCGAGUCAUUGGGACUAGCGAGACCUAAAGGCGCAAUGAAAGUGAAGGUCGGCCCUGGUUGUCGACCGAGGGAGGAUGGGCCGCGUCGCGAUGCGGCUCCGCACUCCCGGGGCGUCUCGUUCUCAUCGCGAGAAGAGGCGCACCCAGAGCGUACACGUUGGGACCCGAAAGAUGGUGAACUAUGCCUGGUCAGGACGAAGUCAGGGGAAACCCUGAUGGAGGUCCGUAGCGAUUCUGACGUGCAAAUCGAUCGUCGGAACUGGGUAUAGGGGCGAAAGACUAAUCGAACCAUCUAGUAGCUGGUUCCCUCCGAAGUUUCCCUCAGGAUAGCUGGCACUCGGCCGUUCCGCCAGGAACGCGCGCGAGUCUCAUCUGGUAAAGCGAAUGAUUAGAGGCCUUGGGGCCGAAACGACCUCAACCUAUUCUCAAACUUUAAAUGGGUGAGAUCUCUGGCUUUCUUGAAUUAUGAAGCCACGAGCAUCUCGGAUCAGAGUGCCAAGUGGGCCAUUUUUGGUAAGCAGAACUGGCGCUGUGGGAUGAACCAAACGCAGAGUUAAGGCGCCCAACUCGACGCUCAUGGGACACCAUGAAAGGCGUUGGUUGCUUAAGACAGCAGGACGGUGGCCAUGGAAGUCGGAAUCCGCUAAGGAGUGUGUAACAACUCACCUGCCGAAGCAACUAGCCCUGAAAAUGGAUGGCGCUGAAGCGUCGAGCCUAUACUCUGCCGUCAGCGGCAAGUGGGGCGGCCGCGCGCAAGCGCGCCGUCACGAAGCCCUGACGAGUAGGAGGGUCGCGGCGGUGUGCGCAGAAGGGUCU
rnacentral:rRNA from 1 species